CUUCAAAAUCUAAGUUUAUUUUACAAGUUAUUUUCUCAUUUUAUAGACCUUUUUAUCAGAGAUUUAUGGCAUUCUUGCCGAUAUUAUCAGCCUAUCCUCAGCUUUUGAUUUCUUUUCUAUUUCUUGGAUUCAACGUACAAACAACAAUGAUGCUUGUUAAAUGCGUCUGUUGUAACUGCUCUCUCUAGAGGAGCUUGAACCUUUUAGUUUAAUGCAAGUUGUGUUUCAAAAAGAAAUAGACCUUUUUAUCCUUCUCACAACCAUAAACCUUAUCUAAGUGAAAUAUGUUAUGUUCUGUUUCGUGUUUUUCCUAUUCUGUAUCACCCCUUCAACACAAUUUUUUCAAUAAAGGCCAAGAAAUAAACCACAACGAUUUUUCAUAGAUCGAUCAUUCGGAUUCAUCAACAUGACGAAUCCAUUAUCCACUCCAAACCACUAGAUCACACGU
rnacentral:lncRNA from 1 species